rnacentral:rRNA from 1 species
UUCCCGCUGACGAGCGGCGGACGGGUGAGUAAUGCUUAGGAAUCUGCCCAGUAGUGGGGGAUAGCCCGGGGAAACCCGGAUUAAUACCGCAUACGUCCUACGGGAGAAAGCAGGGGAUCUUCGGACCUUGCGCUAUUGGAUGAGCCUAAGUCGGAUUAGCUAGUUGGUGGGGUAAAGGCCUACCAAGGCGACGAUCCGUAGCUGGUCUGAGAGGAUGAUCAGCCACAUCGGGACUGAGACACGGCCCGAACUCCUACGGGAGGCAGCAGUGGGGAAUAUUGGACAAUGGGGGCAACCCUGAUCCAGCCAUGCCGCGUGUGUGAAGAAGGCUUUCGGGUUGUAAAGCACUUUCAGUAGGGAGGAAAACCUUAUGGUUAAUACCCAUGAGGCUUGACGUUACCUACAGAAGAAGCACCGGCUAACUCCGUGCCAGCAGCCGCGGUAAUACGGAGGGUGCAAGCGUUAAUCGGAAUUACUGGGCGUAAAGCGCGCGUAGGUGGUUUGGUAAGCGAGAUGUGAA